rnacentral:rRNA from 1 species
AUACGUAGGGGGCGAGCGUUGUCCGGAAUGAUUGGGCGUAAAGGGCGCGUAGGCGGCCCGGUAAGUCUGGAGUGAAAGUCCUGUUUUUAAGAUGGGAAUUGCUUUGGAUACUGUCGGGCUUGAGUGCAGGAGAGGUAAGUGGAAUUCCCAGUGUAGCGGUGAAAUGCGUAGAGAUUGAGAGGAACACCAGUGGCGAAGGCGACUUACCGGACUCCAACUGACUAUGAGGCUAGAAAGUGUGGGGAGCAGACAGGCUUAGAUACACUGGCAUUCCACACUGUAAACAAUAAAUACUAGGUGUCGUGUUUCUACAGAGAUUCGGUGCUGCAGCCAACACAAUAAGUAAUCCACCUGGGGAGCACGUUCGCACGAAUGCAGCUCAAAGGACUUGACGGGC